UUUCGCAAUGCCCGAAAGGGUGACGAAGCGACGCCGCGUGUGGGAAGAAGGCCUUCGGGUUGUAAACCACUGUCGGGAGUUAAGAAAUGUAGGGAUGUUAAUAGCAUUCUUGCUUGACUAAGGCUCCGGAGGAAGCCACGGCUAACUCUGUGCCAGCAGCCGCGGUAAUACAGAGGCGGCAAGCGUUGUUCGGAAUUAUUGGGCGUAAAGAGCACGUAGGCGGCUAUGUAAGUCGGUUGUGAAAGCCUUCCGCUCAACGGAAGAACAGCAUCCGAUACUACAUGGCUUGAGUGCGGGAGGGGAGAGUGGAACUUCUGGUGGAGCGGUGAAAUGCGUAGAUAUCAGAAGGAACGCCGGCGGCGAAAGCGGCUCUCUGGCCCAUAACUGACGCUGAGUGUGCGAAAGCUAGGGGAGCAAACGGGAUUAGAUACCCCGGUAGUCCUAGCCGUAAACGAUGGGCACUAAGUAGAGGGGUUUU
rnacentral:rRNA from 1 species